rnacentral:pre_miRNA from 7 species
UUCUAAGAUUAGAAUUACUUAGUAGAAGUGAAAGACCCCCGAAGGGAGACCCUCACUCAAGCCUCGGGACAGCCGCGGACCCAAGAAGACACUGAGACCG